GACGAACGCUGGCGGCGUGCCUAAUACAUGCAAGUAGGACGCAGUUGCGAACGGGUGAGUAACGCGUAGGUAACUACCUAUUAGAGGGGGAUAACUAUUGGAACCGAUAGCUAAUACCGCAUACUAGUAGAUGGACCUGCGUUGUAUUAGCUAGUAGGUAGGGUAAUGGCCUACCUAGGCAACGAUACAUAGCCGACCGGAGAGGGUGAUCGGCCAUACUGGGACUGAGAGACGGACCCGACUCCAACGGGAGGGUGUAGUUGGGAAUCGUCGGCAAUGGUGGGGACCCUGACCGAGCAACGCCGGGUGAGUGAAGAAGGUUUUCGGGUCGUAAAGUGCUGUUGUUAAGGAAGCGGUACUUAACCAGAAAGGUACGGCUAACUACGUGCCAGCAGCCGCGGUAAUUC
rnacentral:rRNA from 1 species